UACGAAGGGAGCUAGCGUUGUUCGGAAUUACUGGGCGUAAAGCGCACGUAGGCGGCUUUGUAAGUUAGAGGUGAAAGCCCAGUGCUCAACACUGGAACUGCCUUUAAGACUGCAUCGCUUGAAUCCAGGAGAGGUGAGUGGAAUUCCGAGUGUAGAGGUGAAAUUCGUAGAUAUUCGGAAGAACACCAGUGGCGAAGGCGGCUCACUGGACUGGUAUUGACGCUGAGGUGCGAAAGCGUGGGGAGCAAACAGG
rnacentral:rRNA from 1 species